rnacentral:snoRNA from 1 species
ACCCCCAUCUUCACUUUGCCACCUGGAUUCUCUCUGUCCUCAGUGGUCAUUCAUGUGGGGGAGAAUAGCUCAUCCUCAGGCACCCCGGUCUAAGCUGGUCUUUGGGCUUUGGGUUGUUUUGAGGAGACAUCA